CUUCCAGUAGCACCUUAAAGACCAACUAAGUUUAUUCAUGCAUGGUAUCUGAAGUAGUGUACAUGCACACGAAAGCUCAUACCAAUAACAAACUUAGUUGGCCUUUAAGGUGCUACUGGAAG